rnacentral:misc_RNA from 1 species
GGUUGGCUCUUUGCUUGCGCAACAACUUCCACCUGGCAUACCUCUUCAGUUUUUGUGUCAAUGCUUGUUUCGCAUUGAUUGCACGGUGGGUUUCUUGUGUUGCAUGCCUAAUUGAUGGUAUCAUUUGACGAAUCGRUAUCUAUUUUCAUCUUGUGUCGCGCAUGCGAUGUGAGAUGAACCUUAAAGCAACCUUUGUGAUCCACUGUUUUGAUGCACACGCAUCGAUUUUGUGGCUCAUUGAGUGUUUGCUUGGUCUCAUGGAUAUGGAACCUUGUGUGGGCAUGUGAUCUUUUAGUAGCUCCUUGUUUGCCCUUGUUAAGCUUUUCAAAUACGAUUUCCUAUCAUGUUCUAACAUGGUAGGCUAUAUCGAAUAUGAAUG